GUAAACAAUCUAAAUACAAUUUAUUUCUACAGAAAUUUUAAAUAUAAAAUCAUAUCAGAAUAUUUUUAAAAUUAAAUUUAAGAUAAAUUUUAUUAAAAAUAUAAAAUAUUUUGUACUAAGAGAAGCAAAUAAAAAUAUAGGACAGAAGUAAAGAAACAAAAUGUCCUUCCAUUUAAGUACAAAAGAAAGGCUGUUAUUACUCGUAGAUGAUAUAGAAAUAAUAGCAAAAGAAUUAAUUGAGAAUACAAUAGCACCGAAACAUCAAAAAAUUUCAAGUGUUGAACAUGCUGCUUUGGUUGAUUUAUUAGUUUCUAAAGAUGAGGAGUUUAGAAAAAUGCUGCAAUUAGCUGGAGAACAAGAAAAGAUUGAAAAAACAAUGGAUAACUUAAAAAAUAAAGUUAAUGUAUAUGAUAGAGAAAUUCAGAAACUUCAAAAUAAACUUAAAGAAGCUGAACAAAUAUUAUCAACUGCAAUAUUUCAAGCAAGACGAAAACUGAAUAGUAUAACAAAAGCUAAUAAGCAACCUGUAUCUUCUGAAGAAUUAAUAAAAUAUGCUCAUAGAAUAAGCGCUUCUAACGCAGUUUGUGCACCAUUGACAUGGAUGCAGGGAGAUUUGAGAAGACCAUAUCCAACUGAUAUAGAAAUGCGUCUAGGUUUUCUAGGCAAAAAUGAACUAAAUCUUAAUGGAAAAAUGCCUGGAAUGCAAAAUUCAGUAACUGAUGUGCAAAAUAGAAAUUCGGACGUCCCAACAUCGAAUCAAAAUCAAUUCGCUUGGCAAAUGGGUGAACUUCAUAUGUCUAUGAGCUCAGGUAACUCAGUGCAGCUUGAUACACGUGCACACAAGGACGCCACGCAAGAUGAUGUUGAAGUCAUGUCUACAGAUAGCUCUAGUUCUAGCUCUAGUGAUUCACAAUAAAAUUAUGUGAUAUGUUAGGCUAUGGAAAAAUAUAUAUUUAAAAAGUGAUGUGGUAUAUGGAUUAUAUUUAACUGAAUUUAUAAGAACGUCUAAAAUAAAUUGGUCAUAAGUAAUAAUUUUUUAUGUCAAAUGAAAAAAAAUGUGAAAAGCAAAUCAAGCGAGAUUUCAAAUAAUCAAUGGAAGCUGAUAAAAUGUAAGUUUACAAAAUUAUUUAAUAUGUAUUUAUAUUUCCAAAAAUGAAAAAAAAUUCGUGGCACAUUUCGCGUUACAUUUGCUU